CAAUAGCGUAUAUUUAAGUUGUUGCAGUUAAAAAGCUCGUAGUUGGAUUUCGGAUGGGACUUGCCGGUCCGUCGUUUCGAUGUGCACUGGCCAGUCCUAUCUUGUUGUCGGGGACUAGCUCCUGGGCUUCACUGUCCGGGACUAGGAGCUGACGAGGUUACUUUGAGUAAAUUAGAGUGUUCAAAGCAAGCCUACGCUCUGAAUACAUUAGCAUGGAAUAACACGAUAGGACUCUGGCUUAUCUUGUUGGUCUGUGAGACCAGAGUAAUGAUUAAGAGGGACAGUCGGGGGCAUUCGUAUUUCAUUGUCAGAGGUGAAAUUCUUGGAUUUAUGAAAGACGAACUUCUGCGAAAGCAUUUGUCAAGGAUGCUUUCAUUAA
rnacentral:rRNA from 1 species